rnacentral:rRNA from 1 species
UACGAAGGGGGCUAGCGUUGCUCGGAAUCACUGGGCGUAAAGCGCACGUAGGCGGCUUUCUAAGUCAGGGGUGAAAUCCUGGAGCUCAACUCCAGAACUGCCUUUGAUACUGGCAUUCUCGAGUCCGGAAGAGGUGAGUGGAAUUCCGAGUGUAGAGGUGAAAUUCGUAGAUAUUCGGAGGAACACCAGUGGCGAAGGCGGCUCACUGGUCCGGUACUGACGCUGAGGUGCGAAAGCGUGGGGAGCAAACAGG